CCUGCGUCACUUUGCUGAGCUCUUCAAGGAGCAGUCCCACGAGGAACAGGAACACUCUGAGAAACUGAUGGCAUUCCAGAAUAAACGUGGAGGCCGAGUCCUCCUGCAGGACAUCAAGAAGCCAGAGCAGGAUGAGUGGAGUAAUGGUCUGGAGGCAAUGCAGAGAGCUCUGCAGAUGGAGAAGGAUGUGAACCAGAGUCUGCUGGAUCUGCACAAAGUCGCCUCUGGCAACACGGACCCUCACGCGAGUUCCUGACGAACCUUCAUCAUUGACAGUGAUACUGGAAUCUGCCCUGCACUGCAUAUUGGCCAAGGUCCACGUAAGCUGUGUGACUUCCUGGAGAGGCACUACUUGGAUGAGCAAGUGAAGAUGAUCAAGAAGCUGGGAGAUCACAUCACCAACCUGAAGAGACUGGGAG